UACGUAGGGUGCGAGCGUUGUCCGGAAUUAUUGGGCGUAAAGAGCGCGUAGGCGGUCUGUCGCGUCGGUCGUGAAAACUUGGGGCUUAACCCUGAGCUUGCGGUUGAUACGGGCAUGACUGGAGUUCGGCAGGGGAGACUGGAAUUCCUGGUGUAGCGGUGAAAUGCGCAGAUAUCAGGAGGAACACCGGUGGCGAAGGCGGGUUGCUGGGCCGACACUGACGCUGAGGCGCGAAAGCUAGGGGAGCGAACGGG
rnacentral:rRNA from 1 species